UUAAUCAUUAUUCAGAACAUUGACAUUUUCUGUCCUGUUUUUCUUAAGGAGGCAAAGUUGUUUUAUGAAAUUUCCUAAACUGUUGGUUAUACAAAAUGUGCACGUAUUUACACUUGUAUGGAAAUUUGUCCCCAUUAUAAAAUAUCACACAAGUUCCCUUAAAAUUUGACAUCACAAUUUAAAAAUUUGAUGUCACAAUUAAAAAUCUAUUGUUGCUUGACAGCAGAAGGUUAUUCAGAGCAGAUUUAAGGUCAUUCAGAGAAGAAAUUCAUCUAAAUACCAAAAGUGUAAAUAUGUUUAUUAAUUAUUUUUGAUUUUUCAAUUUGUCCUUCUAGUCCUAUGGAAUUUUUUUUAUAUAUUACUUCUCUGAUUAUCUAUGAAAAUUGAUUUUUUAGAUAUGCUACUUUUUUGGUUUAUACAGAUUCAGUAUGCUGGUUUUCAAAUUUAAAUUGAUAUGAUAAUUUCAGAUUUGUAUUUCUUUUCAAGUUCAACACAUUGCUGACACUGCUUUGUGUAAUGGAAUACUUUCUUACUAUAAAAAAGGAAUGUAUACAAGUUUUUGAAUUAAUUAAGUAUGUUAAUUCUGUAUAUAUUCAUGUGUUUUUGAUGUACAAUGUAGACAUGUAUACACAUCUUUUCCAAACCGGUAAUGUACAU
rnacentral:lncRNA from 1 species